GCUAGAUCAUCAAAUUUGCCUUGAUUUUAUAAAUUUCAUACUUUCGUUACUGUUGCCGGAAUCCGGCAGCAUCUUCCCCAUAAGAUUCUUAAAGGGGCGAAAUCAGUGAUGGGUUUGGGAGUGUGAGGGUGUCAUCAUUGGCGACGGGGUGUCGAAGCUUGCUGCCGGAGAUCCGGCAGAUUCGUCUCCUCAAGAUAAGUUCCAGUAACUUCCUCAUUUCAUAUCAGUUUUUCCAUUUCAUGAGUGUUGGUGAGAUUUGAGUAUGUCUUGUUACUGGUGAGUUCUUGUGGUGAAGAGUGGUCCUUGGUGGUAUAUAUUUACUCAUGGCAGACCCUAUGUACAAAGUGUGGAUGCAUGUAUGUAUAUGAAAGAAAGUAGAAAUGGUUUGGAUGUUUACCUUGAUGAUAGGUGGAAAACGUGUUGUUAGAUUGUAGGUUUCAUCAUACAAUUAUCUUCAACUCUUCUUCCUCUUCUUCCUCGUACUAAUCUAUCCUAUGUGAGUGAUGUGGUGUAAAGAGAAUGUGUUUGACAGAGAUGGCUGCUUGAAAGUGUAAGGACGUGGGGCUUAUAUAGAGUAUCUGACUCUUCUCUUGCAAGCUGCUGUGCAAGUGGAUGAAGGUUGAACAUGGGGAGGGUUUAACUUGGGUAAAGCUUAACUUGGGAGAACCCUUUUGGAGAUCAUUGUCAAAUGUCAAUUCCCAAUUCCCCAUGAUGAUUUGUACCUCCUUGGAGUGUGAGCACGAAACAUCGAACGAGCUGCCCCGGACUUUGACUUCUCUCUCUAAUUGUAAUAGAUUAAGAUUCGAUAAAUUUUUAUAAUAAGACUUCAUCGAACUUCUGAUGGAUGGGCCGGACAUUGAAACUUUUAUUUGGUGUUACACUUUUAGUUGUA